rnacentral:rRNA from 1 species
GUGAACGCUGGCGGCGUGCUUAACACAUGCAAGUCGAACGGUAACAGGAAGUAGCUUGCUACUUUGCUGACGAGUGGCGCACGGGUGAGUAAUAUAUAGUUAAUGUGCCUCGAAGACUGGGAUAGCCACUGGAAACGGUGAUUAAUACUAGAUACACCUUUUUACUAUAAGGUAAGUCGGGAAAGUUUUUCGCUAAGGGAUCAGUCUAUGUUCCAUCAGGUAGUUGGUGAGGUAAUGGCUCACCAAGCCUAUGACGGAUAUCUUGUUUGAGAGGAUGAUCAGACACACUGGAACUGAGACACGGUCCAGACUCCUACGGGAGGCAGCAGUGAGGAAUAUUGCACAAUGGAGGAAACUCUGAUGCAGCAACGCCGCGUGGAGGAUGACGCAUUUCGGUGUGUAAACUCCUUUUAUUAGGGAAGAUAAUGCCGGUACCUAAUGAAUAAGCACCGGCUCCCUCCGU